rnacentral:rRNA from 1 species
GACGAACGCUGGCGGCGUGCUUAACACAUGCAAGUCGAACGGAAAGGCCCUGCUUUUGUGGGGUGCUCGAGCGGCGAACGGGUGAGUAACACGUGAGUAACCUGCCCUUGACUUUGGGAUAACUUCAGGAAACUGGGGCUAAUACCGGAUAGGAGCUCCUGCUGCACGGUGGGGGUUGGAAAGUUUCGGCGGUUGGGGAUGGACUCGCGGCUUAUCAGCUUGUUGGUGGGGUAGUGGCUUACCAAGGCUUUGACGGGUAGCCGGCCUGAGAGGGUGACCGGCCACAUUGGGACUGAGAUACGGCCCAGACUCCUACGGGAGGCAGCAGUGGGGAAUAUCGCACAAUGGGCGGAAGCCUGAUGCAGCAACGCCGCGUGCGGGAUGACGGCCUUCGGGUUGUAAACCGCUUUCGCCUGUGACGAAGCGUGAGUGACGGUAAUGGGUAAAGAAGCACCGGCUAACUACGUG